rnacentral:lncRNA from 10 species
CCGCACACCGUCCGCGCACGCCUGAGGCUGGGAUCCCGCGCUGCCUCCCCGGCGAUCUGUCUGAGGUUUCUUCCUCCUGGGGUUUCUUCCUGCUGGUGGACCCUCCGCGAAUCCCGGCCUCCGGAGACCGUCCUGGUAACUGCCCUGGCCAGGGCUGGUCUCAGCCCCGACUCUGACGCACGAUCACACAGGGCUCCUACUUCGCCAAGUCUCAGGGACCCAUACCCGGGCAACGGUGGCGGUCACUGUGAC